GGGGGCGACACGGCUUCGACGGGGCUCGACCGAGGCACCGGUUGCGCGUCGCGGACGCAGCUGGCCGCGUCAUCAAGCUGCAACGCCUUAACCGGCAACCAGAACUACGCUCUGGCUGCGUAACCCGUAGUCAGCGUCCCCUGGAAACCCCGUCGGUGGUUCGCCAGGCCCGACGUCCCGAAACCGACUGGUCCGACGGUCCCGACGCCGGCCCGACGACGAGAACCUUAGGCGCCUAGGCGUGCGGAACGGUGGGUCUCCGACCUGUCCGCGUCGCCGAACGAAAACCGGAGACUACACGCGUAGACGCCGGGCUGAGGGGGCUUCGGACGCGGGUUCGACUCCCGCCGCCUCCACCA
rnacentral:tmRNA from 1 species